UAGUAACUGAGUCGAAGCCGCCGAAUGAUUCACUCCACGAUUACAAGUUACGACGUAGUGAGGAGAUGGAGCUGCAUUUACUUUUCACACAGAGCCAUUUUUCUUGUGAUCUUGGGGACAGCUCACUCAAAUUGGUCAGGAAAUGCAGAAGAAUGGAAGAAGAGCUGCAAAAUGUUUUGAGGAAAAUGUUUCUGCAAAACAUCUAAGCUAAGGUGAAGAGGAAUUUCAAAGUAGGCGGGUGAUGAUGUCUUUGAUGGAAUCAUUAAGGAAUGAUGAUGAAGGAAUGAUGAUGAA